GGUCUGAUGGUCUAGUGGUAGGAUUCUCGCUUUGGGUUGAAUUUAUCUGCCUUAAAAUGCGAGAGGUCCCGGGUUCAAUCCCCGGUCAGACCC